rnacentral:rRNA from 1 species
CCUAUGGGAGGCAGCAGGCGCGAAAACUUUACAAUGCCGGCAACGGCGAUAAGGGGACCUCGAGUGCCAGGUUACAAAUCUGGCUGUCGUAAUGCCUAAAAAGCAUUGCAUAGCAAGGGCCGGGCAAGACCGGUGCCAGCCGCCGCGGUAACACCGGCGGCUCGAGUGGUAACCGUUAUUAUUGGGUCUAAAGGGUCUGUAGCCGGCCGGAUAAGUCUCUUGGGAAAUCUGGCAGCUUAACUGUCGGGCUUUCAGGAGAUACUGUUCGGCUCGAGGCCGGGAGAGGUGAGAGGUACUUCAGGGGUAGGGGUGAAAUCUUGUAAUCCUUGAAGGACCACCAGUGGCGAAGGCGUCUCACCAGAACGGACCUGACGGCAAGGGACGAAAGCUAGGGGCACGAACCGGAUUAGAUACCCUGGUAGUCC